rnacentral:rRNA from 1 species
UACGGAGGGUGCAAGCGUUAUCCGGAUUCACUGGGUUUAAAGGGUGCGUAGGUGGGUUGGUAAGUCCGUGGUGAAAUCUCCAAGCUUAACUUGGAAACUGCCGUGGAUACUAUCAAUCUUGAAUCUCGUGGAGGUAAGCGGAAUAUGUCAUGUAGCGGUGAAAUGCUUAGAUAUGACAUAGAACACCGAUAGCGAAGGCAGCUUGCUACACGAGUAUUGACACUGAGGCACGAAAGCGUGGGGGAUCAAACAGG